GAUUAACGCUGGCGGCGUGCAUAACACAUGCAAGUCGAACGAAGUGGCGGACGGGUGAGUAACGCGUGAGUAACCUGCCUUAGAGAAGGGGAUAGCCUUUGGAAACGAAGAAUAAUACCCUAUGCUCUAAGAUGGACUUGCGUCUGAGUAGUUAGUUGGUGGGGUAACGGCCCCCCAAGACAGCGAUCAGUAGCCGGCUUGGUAGAGAGGCCGGCCACAUUGGGACUGAGACACGGCCCCGACUCUACGGGAUGCAGCAGUGGGUGAUACUGCACAAUGGAGGGAACUCUGAUGCAGCUACGCCGCGUGACGAAUAAGGCUUUCGAGUCGUAAAGUUCUUUUAUAUGGGAAGCGGUACCAUAAGAAAAAGCCCCGGCUAACUACGUGCCAGCAGCCGCGGUAAUAC
rnacentral:rRNA from 1 species